rnacentral:tRNA from 2 species
GUUCCCGUAGUGAAAUGGUCAUCACAUAGUCCUUAUACUUUUAAAGUAUGUCAGUUUAUGAUUUAAUUCAUAAGUUCGGAGUUAAGACUGCAUCCCGGGAUCGAUACCCGGCGGGAAUA